CACGUAGUUAGCCGGUGCUUCCUCGCAGGGUACCGUCAUUAUCUUCCCCUGCGACAGAACUUUACGAUCCGAAGACCUUCAUCGUUCACGCGGCGUUGCUGCAUCAGGCUUUCGCCCAUUGUGCAAUAUUCCCCACUGCUGCCUCCCGUAGGAGUUUGGACCGUGUCUCAGUUCCAAUGUGGCCGAUCACCCUCUCAGGUCGGCUACUGAUCGUGGCCUUGGUAGGCUUUUACCCCACCAACUAGCUAAUCAGACGCGGGUCCAUCCUAUACCGCUAACGCUUUGAUACACCGAAGAUGCCAUCAGUGUACGUUAUCAUGUAUUAGUAUGCUUUUCAGCAUGUUAUCCAUGUGUAUAGGGCAGGUUACCCACGCGUUACUCACCCGUCCGCCGCUCAGUCUCUUUGGUGCAAGCACCAAAGGGACCGCGCUCGACUUGCAUGUGUUAAGCACGCGCCAGCGUUCAUCCUCGAGCCACGGAUCUAAA
rnacentral:rRNA from 1 species